UAACCCAGUUUUAGAAGAUUCAAAAGAAUGUUACUUAUUGUAUGAUAGGAUUGCUGAAUCUUCUUUCUUAUUUGGCUACCAUACAGGAGUAGUUAAUGAACCACUUGAAAGCAUUUCUGUAGAUCUUCGUUUCAGUGGGAAUACUUUGGCAGAAGGUUUGGUUGUGACUCUUGUGAGUACAUGUCUAGGUGGUGCCCUAGUUGGAGCACUACUCAGUGGUUAGAUUGCUGAUGGGGUUGGUCGACAUAGAGCUUUUCAGUUG